rnacentral:rRNA from 1 species
GAUGAACGCUGGCGGCGUGCCUAAUACAUGCAAGUCGAGCGAAGCGGGGACGGGUGAGUAACACGUGGAUAACCUCCUAUAAGACUGGGAUAACUUCGGGAAACCGGAGCUAAACCGGAUACUUAUACAUGAAUCGACGCUGCAUUCGCUAUUUGGUAAGGUAACGGCUUACCAAGGCAACGAUGCAUAGCGGACCGGAGAGAGUAAUCGCCAACACGGGAACGGAGACACGGUCCAGACUCCUACGGGAGGCAGCAGUGGGGAAUCUGCCGCAAUGGGCGAAAGCCUGACGGAGCAACGCCGCGUGAGUGAGGAAGGUCUGCGGAUCGUAAAACUCUUUAAUUAGGGAAGCGGUACCUGAUCAGAAAGCCACGGCUAACUACGUGCCAGCCGCCGCGGUAAUAC